rnacentral:rRNA from 1 species
UACGUAGGCAGCAAGCGUUAUCCGGAGUUACUGGGCGUAAAGGGCGUGUAGGUGGUUUCGUAAGUCUGGCGUGAAAUUUCCCGGGCUUAACCGGGACGUGUCGUCGGAUACUGCGGGACUAGAGGACGGUAGAGGCGUGUGGAAUUCCGGGUGUAGUGGUGAAAUGCGUAGAGAUCCGGAGGAACACCAGUGGCGAAGGCGACACGCUGGGCCGUACCUGACACUGAUGCGCGACAGCAUGGGGAGCAAACAGG